UUAUACAACUCAACGGUUUAAAUUAGUGUUUCACUUUUGUGAUCACACACGCAACUGCAUACAGCUGCUUAAUACAGUCACAUUUGUCUUGACUUGGCACAAACACAAAAUACACACCACGGAUAACUCAAGGAAAGUUUGGCUAAUACGUACGAACCCAACCAGAUUCAUUCACUUCUGAAUACGAAUGAAUACGCGUAUCAUAAUUAUUUGAUAUGCAGACUAGAUGUUACUUUCCACAAAGUGACACAUGUCUUACAAGUAUCUAUAGCAUCAAGUUACACGGUUGGCAAGUGUAUUAUUGAACCUUCAAAGCAGUUACACAUACGGAGGAGUAGUUUCUGAUCCCAUAGAAGGAGCACCGUACAAUGAGAGAUGGCUCUUAGUUCUAAGGAACGCAGCAGGCGCGUAAAUUGCCCAAUGUUGACACAUGACUGAGGCYAGUGACAAGUUGUAACGGUUGAGUAUAUUCAAAAUGAUAUAGUGUUUGCUACUGCGGUGUGCUUCUGUACACCUUGCAACCGGCAACACUUAUGUGUGCUUAAUUGGAAUGCGGUGAGUCCAAUUUAACUCAGAGUCAAAUCUGAAUUUUUUCYAAGUGGAGGGCAAGUCUGGUGCCAGCAGCCGCGGUAAUACCAGCUUCCACUAGCCUAUACAAUCAUUGUUGCGGKUUAAGAGGCUCGUAGUUGGAUUGAUGAAAAAACGACACAACACUGUGAACAAAUCAGAGUGUAUCAAACAUGCAGCCUUACGCAGGCUAUAGCGCAUUAUAUGUCUUAUCAUGGAAUGUUGCUUAUUAUACAUGUCGAUGGAGAUAGUUGGAGUUAACAGUAUUACUCGGCGAGCGGUGAAAUGCGUUGACCCUUGUAAGACUACCAGAAGCGAAAGCGGUUAACUAGGCUAUUCUCUUUGUGUACUCUACACAUACACACACAACGAAGAACGAAGGUUAGGGGAUCAAAGAGGAUCAGAUACCCUCGUAGUCCUAUUUGUUACACCAAACGAUGGGCUCUCACUCACAAACCCCUUACUGCAAAUUUUUAUAUUUUGCAUACACAACGAUGUUCACACAUCUGAAUUUAAUAUCUUUGCGCUCCAAAUUUAAUUAAUGGGUGAGAUGUAAGCAUUUAUUGUAAUUUUAAUCGAUUACAUUUUUAUUAAAUGUGAUGCACGCAUUAAGAUAGCGCUUACUGCAGAAAUGUUUAAGAUAUUCCCUUCCGGGGGUAGUAUGCACGCAAGUGUGAAACUUGAAGGAAUUGACGGAAGGGCACCACAAGAACGCGUGGAGCAUGUGGCUUAAUUUGACUCAACACGGGAAAUCUUACCGGGUCCGAACACACUGAGGAUUGACAGGCAACCCUUUUAAAUAUGCUAGUCCUUUCAUGAUUAUGUGAUAGGUGGUGCAUGGCCGUUCUUAGUUCGUGGAGUGAUCUGUCUGCUUAAUUGCGUAUCACAAAUAAAACAUUAUGCUUAAUUGCAUUUUGUUUGAUAGCAACGAACGUGACCGUAACCUGUUGUUACGUAUAUAUACACAACAGGGACCGCUGUAUUUUUACUUUCUAACCAGUGGAAGGAUACGGCAAUAACAGGUCUGUGAUGCCCUUAGAUGUUCCGGGCUGCACACGUGCUACAAUGAUUAUUACACUAUGUUAUCGUUUAUUACACACGCGAUAUUGCGCAUAGUUAAUCAUUUCACAGUAAUGAGUCACGGUUGGGAUAGACUAUUGUUAAUUAUUAGUCUUGGUCUUAACUAGGAAUGCCUUGUACGUGUAGUUCAAUACACUACUCGGAAUACGUCCCUGCCCUUUGUACACACCGCCCGUCGCUCUUACCGAUGAACUUUUUUAUGAGUUUGAGGGAUGUCAUGUAACAAAACUUAAACAAAUAAUGGGGUUUAAAGGAAAGAGAAGUCGUAACAAGGCAUCA
rnacentral:rRNA from 1 species